CCUACGGGCGACAGCAGUGGGGGAUAUUGCACAAUGGGGGGAACCCUGAUGCAGCGACGCCGCGUGGGUGAAGAAGCGCCUCGGCGCGUAAAGCCCUGUCAGCAGGGAAGAAAAUGACGGUACCUGAAGAAGAAGCCCCGGCUAACUACGUGCCAGCAGCCGCGGGAAUACGUAGGGGGCAAGCGUUAUCCGGAUUUACUGGGUGUAAAGGGGGCGCAGACGGCGAUGCAAGCCAGGGGUGAAAGCCCGGGGCCCAACCCCGGGACUGCUCUUGGAACUGCGUGGCUGGAGUGCAGGAGGGGCAGGCGGAAUUCCUGGUGUAGCGGUGAAAUGCGUAGAUAUCAGAAGGAACACCGGUGGCGAAGGCGGCCUGCUGGACUGCAACUGACGUUGAGGCCCGAAAGCGUGGGGAGCAAACAGGAUUAGAUACCCUUGUAGUC
rnacentral:rRNA from 1 species